UACAGAGGGUGCAAGCGUUAAUCGGAAUUACUGGGCGUAAAGCGUGCGCAGGCGGUGAUGUAAGACAGGUGUGAAAUCCCCGGGCUUAACCUGGGAACUGCAUUUGUGACUGCAUCGCUGGAGUGCGGCAGAGGGGGAUGGAAUUCCGCGUGUAGCAGUGAAAUGCGUAGAUAUGCGGAGGAACACCGAUGGCGAAGGCAAUCCCCUGGGCCUGCACUGACGCUCAUGCACGAAAGCGUGGGGAGCAAACAGG
rnacentral:rRNA from 1 species